AAUAAAACACUCUUGACUCUUGACUUACUCCGCUAAUGUGUGGGAGAGAACUAGUGUACGAGUGGUCGGUGGGCUGACGGGCCUGUUUCCACGUUGUAUCUUUAAAUUAAACUAAAGACGCUAAAACCAGAGGGAGUCUAAAGAAGGGUCUCUACCCGAAACGUCACCCAAUUUCUUCUAUCCUGAGUUGCUGGCUGCUCCAUGGAGUUCCCCCGCACAAUUAAAGCAUGGAAUAGUCUUCACCCUACCAUAGUUACCCAACCAGACGCAACUAAAUUUAAGAUACUUCUUUUUUCCCCAAGAACUGUUUUUUGCUUAAGUCCAAGUCAAGAGUCAAGAGAGCUUGUGUUCAAAGAUCUUAUAGCAGAUCUUUGCUUGUGUUCAAGAAGGAACUGCAGAUGCUGGAAGAUCGAAGGUACACAAAAUUGCUGGAGAAACUCAGCGGGUGCAGCAGCAUCUAUGGAGCGAAGGAAGUCAAGAGAGCUUUAUUGUCGUGUGUCCCAGAUAGGACAAUUAAAUUCUUGCUUGCUGCAGCAUUACAGAAUAUGUGAACAUAAUACAAAACAGGAGAUAAAAGUUCAAUUUUUUUAUAUACCAUAGACCAUAUAUAUAUACACAAUAAAUAAACAGAUAAAAUGCAAUGGGCUGUUAUUGUUCAACCCUCUACCACCUCCAGUUUAAAUUCAAUUUAGAAUAUUUAUGGAGGAACAGGAAACCAGAAGCAAGAGUUACUCCUGAUCCAGGGUCAGGGAGUGAUUCUGCGUUGGUUUUCAGCACUGGCGGCGAGGCAGCGACCGGACAGCAAUGGCGGCCAAAUGUCCCACAAUUCAAAGCGAGGGAGAAAGUGCCCAGCGCCGACCAGUUGCCGUGGCAGUGCGCAUGCGCAGGGCGGCCGAUGAUGUGCGGGCCGUGGUUGUGCGCGUGUGCAGAGGGAGGACGUGCAGGCCGCAGCAAUGCGCAUGUGCAAGGCGGCCUGCCGUGCCGGCGGAUGAGGAGAGAACGGAGACCCGACGCCCCGGACACGGAUAGCGGGGGGAGACUGAGAGAGAGAGAGAUAGAGAGGGGUCCACCCAGAAUUGAACGGCAGGUAUCUUGCCUUGGCCGGAGGCCCCCCUAGAUUUCGAGGCCCUAGACUUCUGCCUAUGAAGCCUAGUGGUAAAUCCGGCUCUGCGAGGCCCCCCUAGAUCUCGAGGCCCUAAACUGAAGCUUUUGUCCAGUUUAUACGUAAAUCCGGUCCUGGCUGUCCACUUUGCAACCCCUUUCAUUCUGGUGCAUUGGAUGUGCCAUACUAUGCCACGAUGCAAAUUACAGUACAUCUAGAGAAGUUUGCUAGAGUAUUUGCUGGUGUACUGAAUCUCUAAACCUAAGAAAGUGGGGGAGCUAGUGUGCCUUUGUGAUUACAUUGUGUAGGCCCCAAAACAGGCCAUUCAAGAUGUUACAUUGUGGAAUUUGAAGCUGCAAAUGAAAACUGGUGCACGAUAUCCAGACUUGAUGAUUAUGUGAAACAAACAACCGAGGCUAUAUUCCUAAAUUAAGCUAGUUUAGGCAAAGGUUUUUUGUUUGGAAAAUCUUCACGCUUGCCGCACAUGUUGACAUUGCUUGGAAUUGUAUUUUAAAUGCAUCCAUUAAUUAAAAUUACAAAAAGAGUUAUCAACAUGAGUACUGCAAAUGAACACUGAAAACAAAAACUGAUAAAAAUCAGCAAACAUCAGUGUUGAUACCAUUAAUUACACAUUUAUGGAUGCAAGUAUAUCUCGAUGGGAUGCAAGAUGGCAACAGUUUGAUUUAAGAAGAAAUAAACGUGUCUCAAUGUAAAAGCUUGUGUGAAAAUAAAACUAGAUCCCUUAAUUAGCAUUACCACAGUUAUACAAAUUGAAGUGAAAUGUCACUGCAAGGAUGACUCAAAUUAGUGGACGGUUUUCAGAAUUUUUGGAAACAUCACCACACAACUUCAAAACCCAUUAACCAAUCAUAUUGUCUGUACUGCCAAUUACCCCAAUUUAAAGCAAAGAUCUUAGAUCUUUGAUUUAAAGUGCACAUUUGCCCCCACGUGAUCAAUAUCCCUCCAUUCCCCGCCUCACGUGACUGCUCCCACUAAUUCCUCCAGCACUGCCUGCCGACACCUUGCUCCAAACUAUUGCUUAAUGUUGGCAAAUGGUGUAUGUAUCUCCGAGGAGUCCAACUACAGCAAAAUUAGAUUUGGUACACACGUGGACAUAAUUUGAACAUGUAAUAUAAAGCAAACAUUUGAAUUGUUUUUCAUUGGGUUUGCAGAAAACAUUAGCAAUAUUGGCACUGUCGCAUGUUGGAGUAAAAUUAGUAGAUUCACAACACUGAGGUUAACUGCUAGUUUAAAUUCUAAAUAGACUUUCUUUAAGUCUCUGAUGAUCGUUCCCAGAAUUCUGCGCCGGAAGAGUAAUCUUCCCACUAUCUCCCCUAUAGCUCCGGUAUAGAAUCUUUGUUGUCGAGUGCUCUAAGAGAGUGUUGCAUGUUUCAAAGGUUCCCCUCGUUGUAGAGACCAGAGACAGAGCCCUCAGUUUCUCCCGAUACUCCAAACCUGACAUCUUGGAAUUCAGACUGGUGAAUUCAUUGCUAUUUUCGCACUGCAACAAAUAUAUGGCACCAUUGGAAAAGAGCCUGAAAACGUACUAAGAUUAUAACGGCUGUACCCAACGGGUUCAGUGAUUUGUGUGCAAGGAUAUCCUUUGAAGGGUGCCAUGGUUUCCAGACCAGCAAUCACAAUGGUAGACACCAUUAAUGUGCUGCCAUUCUUUGGUGAGAAACUUAAUGCCAUUAUUGAAGGCUUCAAGGAAAAUGAAAUAUGGCUGAAAGAAAUCCUGGAGGAAGCUAAGAUGUUGUUUAACAGUGGCUUUAAUGCAGAACCCGAAUUGAUGCCAAAGACGCCUUCAGAGAGAAAAAGGCGUAGGAUAUGUUCAUCGUUGGUCCAGGAUUCUAAU